rnacentral:snRNA from 1 species
GAGGAUGAGGACAAUCUGACUGUGACAUCUGUCCCCCCAUUGAUCACCAGGCUUGAUUUGGCUGAUCUGGCUGGCUAGGCCGCUGUCCCCUUCCUCCCUCACUGCCCCAUGUACAUCACUCCCAAAGCUGCAAGCUUAGAGAGGAUGGCCAUACCCACUAGAGGAGGACCAUGCUCAGUCGAAGGUGUGGGAGUAGCUGUGCUUCCCUGCUGGAACCUCCAAAUAAGCUCCCAAGGUCCAUUUGUAGGAGAACAUAGGUGGUCAAGCUUCUGAGGCUCCAGAGACAUCCAAAUGAGGCGCUGCAUGUGGCAAUCUGCCUUCU